UUCUGUUUUCUAUUACAUCUCUCUUCUACUAAAUUCUCUACACAAUCCAUGCCUCCCGCUGUCUAUUUAGACCUAAAUUAACCUGUCAAAUGUAGUAUACAUUCUCCCCUCUCCUAGACGAGUGGACGUCAAACCACAAUUCUCAUGAAAAGCCUCAUCAUCAUUAGCAAGAAAGAAAAAAAAAAGAAUAAAAUCUAGAAACUGCUAAUCCCGUCAAACUUGGGACACGUGGAGAUGAAGAUGAAUACGCUAAUGGAGAAGGGAAUGGUGUUUAAGACACAAAUGCUCCCAAAGAUGGUUUUGAAAUGACCUUUAUUAAGCAGUUUUUUCUCUCUUUUUAUUAGGUGGUGGCCUUGUGGUGAUCCACUGAAAAAGUCUUAAAUUGAUCAAAUACAAAGAGAAAUGAAGCGAUGUAGAUCUACUUCUGAGUCAUGCAGUUAUCUUCCUCCCCCGCUUGAUGGUCGUCUUCCUUCACUUGUGGUCCAAUGAAAAAAUAUUGUAGGCUUUUCACAGUGCACUGGUGCAAAGCAGCAAGAAAUCUCUACAUUCGAAUUCAACACAAAUUUUAUCUUACCUUUUACUCUUCCAAAAAAGUCAGAAAUUUGAAAGUGAUUCCAAUCAUAGUUCUACCAAACGAAAAGUUCAGAAUUUGCUCAUUAGAAGAUUUUGUUCAUAAUUGUACAAUAAAAGAAUGAAGGGAUAAAGGUCUCUACAAUCUUAGAA